rnacentral:rRNA from 1 species
AACGAACGCUGGCGGCAUGCCUAACACAUGCAAGUCGAACGAGACCUUCGGGUCUAGUGGCGCACGGGUGCGUAACGCGUGGGAACCUGCCUUUAGGUUCGGAAUAACUCCCCGAAAGGGGUGCUAAUACCGGAUAAUGUCUUCGGACCAAAGAUUUAUCGCCUUUGGAUGGGCCCGCGUUGGAUUAGCUAGUUGGUAGGGUAAAAGCCUACCAAGGCGACGAUCCAUAGCUGGUCUGAGAGGAUGAUCAGCCACACUGGGACUGAGACACGGCCCAGACUCCUACGGGAGGAGGCAGUGGGGAAUAUUGACAAUGGGCGAAAGCCUGAUCCAGCAAUGCCGCGUGAGUGAUGAAGGCCUUAGGGUUGUAAAGCUCUUUUACCCGGGAUGAUAAUGACAGUACCGGGAGAAUAAGCUCCGGCUAACUCCGUG